rnacentral:rRNA from 1 species
GAUGAACGCUAGCGGCAGGCCUAAUACAUGCAAGUCAAGGGGCCAGCAAUGGCACCGGCGCACGGGUGCGUAACACGUACACAACAUACCUUUAAGUGGGAGAUAGCAUCGGGAAACUGGUGGUAAUACCCCAUAAUAUUGCGAUGCGGCAUCACAUUGCAAUUAAAGUUUCGACGCUUAAAGAUUGGUGUGCGUCCGAUUAGCUAGUUGGCGGGGUAACGGCCCACCAAGGCUACGAUCGGUAGGGGGUNUGAGAGCAUGACCCCCCCACAUGGUACGUGAGACACGGACCCAACCUCCUACGGGAGGCAGCAGUAAGGAAUAUUGG